GCCCCAAAACAGAAAGGAAAGCUCACCACCAGAAUGUGCCUUUUCCUUAUCAAAAAGAAUUGCUGCCCCUUACAGGACAGGAGGACUCCAAUUGUGACCAAGUUGGAGCAGCCUUGAGCCACAACUCAGACUUAUUUUCAUUCUCUGCUCAUUGGCCAUUAGGAACCCGAUCCUUAUGGCCUGCAGUGACCUGCUGCUACCAGAACUGACUCGCUUCAAAGUGACGGAUGAAACCCAUAUGGAGAUAUUCCUGGGGUGGGUAGGCCAGUUGGAAGACAGAGUGUUUACACCUGAGAGAGGACUUGAGGAUAUCUGAACCUUUUGCACCAUUCAGUAAAGAGAAAAGGGGAGCUCAGGAUUUUACUCAGUCACGUUGCUCACUGCUGCGCACUCCUGCAGACGCAUCCCAGUGGACUCUGCGCUGCAUCCCCAGAGUACAGCGAGUUUCCCGCCUCCCGUUAGAGAUCCAACACAUAUUUUUUUUGAAAGAAGAAACUGAUGGAAGACAGGAAGCAAAAAGGAGAGGAAGGAAAGGGAUAGGAAGGAGGGGAAGGAAAGGGAAAGGAAGGAAAAGAAAGGAAAGUGAACUUGAAAUCCUACAAGGUCUCAAAGUCAAAAAACAUGUAAGUCAAUUAUCACAGAAAAUAAAAGAACUGCUACAAGGGCAAGAUUGCUGUUUUAGAGAAUUGAAGAUCCUUCAUCUUCAAGAAUCUGAAAUCUACCAUGAUCUUCACAUGUAGCCAAACACAAUGGGAUGUAGUCAUUUAAGAGUGCUGUGAAGGCAGUGAAAAGCAGUUGAAAUACCAUUAGUUAACAGAUUGCCCAAUGAAGUCGAUGACAACUGUGAUAACAAGUUACUCACUAUCACAGCGUCUCCAAGAGAUGAACAGUGGAUGAUGCUUCCAAAGCACAGAUGUCCCUCUCCUCCUCAACCUUCUCUCCCCAGAAAGAUGUCAACACUGUGGAGAUUGUGCUAUGAAGAUACCUGGUGUGGCAUUGCAAUAGAUGAAAUAUUAAGGGCAAUUCAACAAUUUUCUGAACAAAUACAUGGAUUUAACUUGAAGUUGAAUUUAAUUUGACUUCAAGAAAAAUUAUAUUUCUGGUCCUCCUAUGAUCAUGCACUAAGAAUUAUUUAACUGCAGAUACAAUUGUUACCUUUAGAGCUAGAAGGCCUCAUUUUAGAAUUAAAAUGAAUGGCAACCCAGACAGAUAAAACCCAGUUCCGGAUUUCACACCAAGCCUUUGCUGAGGAUAUGAGAGUAAUAAAAAGGGGAGCCCUGGUUCUUCCUCUCCUUUAGUGUCUUUCCUGGAAGUGGACUGCGAGAAGAGCUUCUUCAGCCACCUUCUGCCUGCAGACAACCUCCAUGAGUUUGCUUUAGAAGAAGGCUUCAAUUUGAAGAAAGUCAAAUAAAACAAGGUCAUUGUGUUUGCAAUUGAUCCUUGGAGACAGCGACAUCUGCGAAGCUUCCAAGCCACGGUGGUUCCACCUUCACAAGUAUCCUUCAAAGGCAUCCUGCAACCACCCCAUCCAUCCAAGUACUCCGUUGUAGGAUUCAAAAGCAAAUUGCAGGGUUUGCUGCCUGGCAGAGAAGCAUAGACACAAAGCAUGAGAGAGCAAAACCUAUGAGUUGACCAUAUCAUAAACACAAAUAGAUAUAUGCAGAAUACCAGCUAAAAAAUAGGCAAUAAACUUAAACAAUAGGACUAUGAGUAGACAUAGCAAGUGCUGGGUAGAGAUGACAGUUUUGUGUCCUGUUAGAGCUAAGUCAGAAAUCUGGGUCGAAGUGAAUGUGAGGGAGGAAAAGGCCAUUACAAUAUUUAAGAAGCAGCUCCAAUAUUUUUAAAACGUGAAGGAAAACUUGCAAGCAAUCUCUAGGGCUGGAGGGAGAGAAAUGCAAAGCCCUCUCAGCCUGCUCCACCAUUAUCUUUUGCAUUCCAAUAACUGACAUGCUGCUGAAUGUUAUGACUAUUUGUUUAUUGUUGACUGUUCUUGGCACUGCUCAGUGUAGCCAAAGAUUCCUUGCCUACAAGAAAGUCUUGCUCAGACAAUAAACCACGGAGAAAGAAAAU
rnacentral:lncRNA from 1 species